GAUGAACGCUGGCGGCGUGCCUAAUACAUGCAAGUCGAGCGAACAGACGAGGAGCUUGCUCCUCUGACGUUAGCGGCGGACGGGUGAGUAACACGUGGAUAACCUACCUAUAAGACUGGGAUAACUUCGGGAAACCGGAGCUAAUACCGGAUAAUAUAUUGAACCGCAUGGUUCAAUAGUGAAAGACGGUUUUGCUGUCACUUAUAGAUGGAUCCGCGGCGCAUUAGCUUGUUGGUAAGGUAACGGCUUACCAAGGCAACGAGGCGUAGCCGACCUGAGAGGGUGAUCGGCCACACGAGAGCGGAGACACGGUCCAGACUCCUACGGGAGGCCGCAGUAGGGAAUCUUCCGCAAGGGGCGAAAGCCUGACGGAGCAACGCAGCGUGAGUGAUGAAGGUCUUCGGAUCGUAGAACUCUGUUAUUAGGGAAGAACAAAUGUGUAAGCAACUAUGCACGUCUUGACGGUACCUAAUCAGAAAGCCACGGCUAACUACGUG
rnacentral:rRNA from 1 species